GAUAAUGAAGCAGCGACAGGUGAACGAGGCGAACGAGCCGGAAGCAGAGGCUCACAACUGGGAACGGGGCAGUCUUGCACACAGGACGUACUAACGCCAACAGAUGUGCCCAACUGUUCACAAAACUUAGCCCCCCCCUAAUUGUCCUUACGAUAAUAAAAGAAUUUGCCCGAAUUAAACGAUGAUUGCUUCAACGGGCAGCCCGCCACCUUAUGGUCCGCACCUCAGCAAAGCAAACACUUAUCAGCGCGCAUCAGCUCGUUAUGAAGCUGAGUUGAGAGCCCAUCUACAAACAGGCCGAACUGCUUCUCCUGACCCAUCGGAGGCGCGAUACACUUAUCCCGAGCAGAAGAAGGAUUAAACGCGGCCUUGAAGCGUU
rnacentral:lncRNA from 1 species